rnacentral:rRNA from 1 species
CCUACGGGUGGCAGCAGUGGGGAAUAUUGCGCAAUGGGCGAAAGCCUGACGCAGCGACGCCGCGUGAGGGAUGAAGGUCCUCGGAUCGUAAACCUCUGUCAGCAGGGAAGAACGGUCACUGUGCUAAUCAGCAGUGAAUUGACGGUACCUGCAAAGGAAGCACCGGCUGACUCCGUGCCAGCAGCCGCGGUAAUACGGAGGGUGCGUGCGUUAAUCGGAAUUACUGGGCGUAAAGCGCUCGUAGGCGGUAUGUCAAGUCAAGGGUGAAAUCCCCGCGCUCAACGUGGGAACUGCCUUGGAAACUGGCAAACUGGAGUGUGUGAGAGGAUAGUGGAAUUCCAGGUGUAGGAGUGAAAUGCGUAGAUAUCUGGAGGAACAUCAGUGGCGAAGGCGACUAUCUGGCACAUAACUGACGCUGAGGAGCGAAAGCGUGGGUAGCAAACAGGAUUAGAUACCCCUGUAGUC